UAUUGAAACAUCAGUUCCUGUUUGAUAACUGAAGUUAAGCAGCAUGGUGCCUGGCCAGUACCAAGGUAGAUGACCAUUUGGGAGUAACAGGUGCUGUAAG